CCAGCCCACGUACGCACGUCGUCCCGCGACCACCCGCGUGCUUCCGUCCCCCCACCAACGAUCUAGGCGGCGUACCGCCCUAUCCAACCGCACCACCCUACGCUAUGUCGUCGCUGCGCCGCACUUCAUCUUUGUCAAGCCGUCGGGAGAUGGGAAGCGGGCCCAUUCUCUGUUGAUGAGGUUAUACCGGAGGUUGCACAGCAGUUCGGGAGGUCAAGGUUAACCAUAGCCCAAGAUCCCGGGCGACGAACGGGUGACCGGUCGGUGUGAUGUCCAUGUUCCCGUCGGAGAAGCCCCUCUGCGUGGUUGUCUUAUGUGACUCCUCUGCAAGGUCACCUCCAACACAGAUUCUUCCAGCAACUUCUAAUGGAGAUGGGAUAAUAGUUCCAGGAUAAAGAAGAGGUACGAGCAUGGACUUCUAAUACUUCUCUAUAAGUUUGACAUUUUUUGACACUUCCUGCAAAAAGAAAGUAAAUCUGUCAUUUCCUAAACAUCGUGAGAGUUUUGCUUGAUCUGUAACUGAAAUCUGAUAGUCUUGUUGUGUUUGUUACGCCAUUCUGUAUGUGGAAUAGUCUUCUUGUUGUGAUGAAUAGGCGCAGGGGCAGCAAUCGGAGGAGAGCGGGGCGGAUGGGGUGGAGAACGACGAGGUCACACGGAUGGAUAUAGCAGCACAUCAGAGUUAACUUCAUAUUUCUCGCUGACAAAUAUUUUGCUUUUGCUUAGUAUCCCAUAUCAUGUUAGUGCUGCAUCUAUCUUAUUUGUUUACUGAAACUAGGAGUAGUAGUACAUCAUAGUUGUUGCUGAAAAUACUCCUACGAUAGGUGAUAUUGCUUUGAUCAUAAAUGAACUGCCGUGGAACUAUGUAAUCUCGACGAUUAGAUGAAGAUGAUAAACAUUGUCAUUGUCUUGGUCGUUUGGAUGAUUUGGAAGGAGCGAUACAACAGAGUUUUGAAGGAAAAUCCUCCCGUUUGGAUCGCACGUCGAACAAAUUAAGUGUGGUGCGCACAACUGGUGUAAGAACAUGUUCUGGGAGUGUCAAGCAUUUAUUUUCAAGGUCGACAGUUCCUUGUCGAACGGUGGACCUUUUACCAAGUAUGGGGUCGCUUCAGGCAAGAGGAAUAAGUUUUCCUUCGCUGCUAUCUUGGUCGCAAGCUCCUUUCAGCAAGAACGUAACAACUUGAUGUUUGAAUGGUUCAAGGCUGAUGCUUUGUGCUUUGUAUCUCUCUGUCCGACAAGGUUUACGGUUUGUGUUUCGGCAAUUACCUUCUUUUCCUAUGUAGGUUGUGAUGAGGUCGUUCUUUUCUUUUGAGCUUUGUACUCUGAGAUUAGAUACUAUUAUUUCUUCUAUAAUGAUCAAAUGCACUUCUCUUGCAUGGUUUCAAAAAAAAAUACCUCCAUUUAAUAUUCUUACAGUUUUAAUCAUAUAUGAACUGCUAAGGAACCAUACCACCUUUCUGUUUUACUGCUAUGUUUGUUUACUAGCUAUUUUACUUCAAGUAGUCGAUUUAUAUUUAUUUUCUGAAACAAGUAGAUUUAUAUUUAUGAGCAUGCACUUGCAGUUCAGCAAUUCAUUCUCCAUGAAGAAUGACAAAAAUGUUGCACCUUAAUUAGGUAUUGUUUUCUAUGUUUAGUUAAGAUUUUUUAGCACAUCUUUUCCUUGAUAUUCAUAUUCAUAUUUAAGGUCCAUACCAGUGCACCACCAACUAUUAUUUUGACUAACUUUUGUUGGUGUGAACCAAUCUCUUUGAAUUUUGUCAGAUAGUUUUGAUCAUAAAUGAAUUGUCGCAGAACUAUAUAAUCUCCAUGAUUACAAUGCCUUGAUUUAAUAUUCUUACAGUUUUAAUCAUAUAUGAACUGCUAAGGGACCAUAUGACCUUUUUGUUUGACUUAAGAUUUUUUUACUACUAGCUACUUUACUUGCAGUAGUCAAUUUAUAUUGUGUUUUGAAACAAGUAGAUUUUUAUUUAUCAGCAUGCACUUUCAGUUCAGUAAACUGGAGUAUGCAUUAAUUCAUUCUCCAUGAAGUAAUGAUGAAAAUGUUGCACCUUAAUGAGGUAUUCUUUUCUAUUUUUUAGUACGUUUUGUACUACAAGAGGCACUAAACAUAGGAAUUGUAGUGUAACCGGAUCUAUACAUGAUUAAGUAUAUAUACUCAAGUACCUACUGAGUCUCAGUUUUGUUUAUUGCACAGGCUUUGUGUGCAUGCAUACAUAAUUUUUUAGAACAAUGACUAUGUUGCAUGCUGGUGUCCCUAUGUUUCUAUCCACAAGGCUAUAUAUGUGCCUUAUCAUCAGAAAUAAAAUGAGUAAUAGGGGCUGAGGAGAAUGUACAUUCUGUAGCUAGCUGAGCACAAUGGAUAACAAUACAUCGUAUGUAUGGAUUCUGAACUAUGUAAAGAUGAGGAGACAGAGUAAUCACAUGCCUUUUGUUACUUUGUUGUUCAUCUUUAGAACUAGAGAGAGGGAAAGACAGAGUUGCUAGCCCAUACUACUUGAGACUGAAGGUCAUUUUUCUAUAUACUACCACAUAUGAUGGCAUGUAGUUCUUGUAUAUACGUAUACUUGAGAUGUUAUGGAUAAAGUUGGAGCCAUGAAUCUAAGCUUAGCUUUCUACUACUUUAUUCCUUAUUCUUUUUAGGGAACAAUAAUAUAGCAUGAUGUAGUUCUUGUAUAUACAUAUACUUGAGAUGUUCUUGAGCGGAGUAUCCCUGGUCUUAAAACUUCUUGAGCCCCAUAAACAGAAAUGGCAAAGUGAUAGCUCUAAUAAGGUGAAUUCAAAGCUAGAUUCAUGGGGUGGUUGUUGCUUUUUCAUUCUGAGUUGUGUUUCGUUUACAUUAAACUUUUCCCAUUCCCUUCACCCCUGCCGAGACAUUGGUUGAUGUGAAGCCCAGAACAAAUUCAAUUGCACAAUUAUUCACAUUAAUGAGUGUGGGUUGCAGGGAUGUUGCGAUUGUCACAUGUCCUCCUUGAUUUAAGGCGUACCCUUCACAUGUAAGCAUUUCUUGCAGGAAACAGCAAGAGCUCGCAACUAUUCACUAGACUAGGAAGAAAUGCAUACAUAAAAAGGAAGCUAUUGCAAGCGCACAGAUGAGGAUGAGACAGAGAAGUAGCCAAGCAUGAGAUAGAUCGUCAUCAUACUUUAUCUUCUUGUAUUUCAGGUGGCACUUAGGUGUGGGGAAAUGGACACGGUGAUUGCUAGGAAGGGAGUUGAGUGGGAGCAAGACAUAGAACUUUGUGAACGAAUUUAAAUUCUGAAGGGAAAGGCAUUUUGCAAUACAGGGCCGGAAAACUUCAAUCUAGGUUGUAUAUAAACAAUCUAGCAACUAAUAUGCACUUAGUUUAUUUUUUA